GAAAGUACGAAGUAGUCACAACCAUUAUUUGUAUUGCAACACUGUGUUCUCUAUUCCCUUUUGUGUAUAUUAGUUUUUACUAUUCCUUUUUGAUAUUUCAUUCUUUAUUGUAUUCGCUAUUACAUUGUACUCAUAUUCAAAUUUACCAGUCAGUCUGGAAUAAACUACAAAUGAAUUAACAACAGGUUAUGGGCCCAGGCUCCGUUUUCAAGAAGACGCGUAAAGAAUUAAAUCGAUUUUUAAUUGCGAAGAGUACGGUUAUGAAAAAUAAAUAUGUCGGGCAACGUAAUACGGAUUGAGCCUUUAAAUUCCCAGAAUUACGAUACAUGGAAAUUGCAAAUUCGUGCAAUUCUUAUAAAAAAUGACUUGUGGGCAUAUGUCAGUGGCGCAUCACAAUGCCCGUUAGCUGAAGCUGCCGAAAUCGAGAAAUGGAAGAUCGCCGACCAGAAAGCUAGCGCGGAUAUUUUGUUAUCAAUGGCACCAUCGGAAUUGGGGCUCAUAUCCGAGUGUAAAACAUCUAGGGAUAUAUGGCUGAAAUUGGAGUCCACAUUCCAGUCGAAGGGGCCUGCCAGGAAGGCAACGUUACUAAAGCGUGUUGCUUUGGCACGUAUGAAGGAGGGUGAGAGUGCUCGCGAUCAUAUGAACGAAUUCUUCGACGCAGUGACCAAACUCAAAGAAAUCAAUGUAACCAUCGGAGAUGAUUUACUGGCCAUUUUGCUUCUGUACAGCUUGCCAGACUCGUUCGAGACAUUUCGAUGUGCAUUGGAGACAAGGGAUGCACUGCCAACGCCCGAUGUGUUGAGAGUGAAAAUACUCGAAGAGGACCAAUCACGUAAAGCAAAAACAGAACGAGAUGAGCAAAAUGCAAUGUAUGUAAGGCCAAAGAAAAACAACGUCAACGGAAAAUUUGAAAGAGUGGCGAGAGAGGAUAAAGUCGAAAAUGCAAAGGCACAAAAGCAAAGGCAAAAACAGGGUUGUUUCAAAUGUGGAAGAUUUGGGCAUUAUGCCAGAAACUGCAGAUCAAACGCAAACCAUGCUGAGGAGAGCGAGGGCAGAAAAGAGAAGUCGCUGUUUAAUUGUGUUGAUGUGACAUUAAAUUGUUUUGACAUCUCUAGCGAAUGGUGUUUGGAUAGCGGCUGCACCUCUCAUAUGAGCGCAUACAAAGAAGGGUUUGUUAAAAUGAAAAGCAUAAGGAAAAGCUUAUGUUUGGCAAACGGUGAGAUGAGCGAAAUAUCUGGUAUUGGUGACGUCAAAAUAAAAGUUGCUAACAAAGGGCAAAUGCAACCUUUUAUAAUAAGAGACGUAAUGUAUGUUAAAGAUUUACGCACCAAUUUGCUGUCCAUCUCAAAACUGACGAAUAAGGGAUACCAGGUGCACUUCCAUAGGGAUGAAGCCUUUAUAAUGGACGGUAAAAAUGAAGUUUGCAGAGCAACUCGUAAAGGUAAUCUUUACUUUAUAAACUCGAUUGACUCUGUUAAUUCAGCUGAAGAGAAAAUAGGUGAGAUCGACCUGUGGCACCAGAAAUUAGGCCAUCUUAAUGAACAUGAUUUGAAAUUGCUUGCCGAUACUAAGGGCGCACAUGGGAUUGAAAUCAAGAAAGGCCAACGAUUGUCAACAUGUGCGGUGUGCUUGAGUGAGAAACAGACACGAAAUAGUUUCAGCAGUCGAGGUGAUAAUCGUACCAGUGAAUUAUUGGAAGUGGUUCAUAGUGAUGUCUGUGGCCCCAUGAGAGUUAAUUCACAUUCGAACGCAAGGUACUUUGUCACUUUCAUCGACGACUAUUCUCGAUACUGUGAAGUCCAUUUCUUGAAGCAGAAAUCUGACGUGCUGGGUGCUUUUAAGAAAUUUAAGAGUUCAUCGGAACUAUUAACUGGCAAAAAGAUUAAAUUUCUCCAAUCGGAUAACGGCACCGAAUAUCUAAAUAAAGAAUUCGAUGAUUACCUGGAAAAGGCCGGCAUUAGACGAAGGUUGACGGCACCUCAUACGCCGCAACAAAAUGGCGUGUCGGAGAGGAAAAACCGGACGUUGCUAGAGAUGGCUAGGUGCAUGAUGAAACAGGCAGGAGUACCUCCGGUAUUUUGGGCGGAGGCCGUAAACACCGCUAAUUAUUUAAGAAAUCGAUGUCCCACUAGAUCAUUGAAUGGAAAAUUACCAAUAAAAAUUUGGACAGGUAAGACUCCAUCGAUUAAACACUUGAGAACUUUUGGCACCCGGGCAUACGUUUUGAUCAAGGAUAAGACGAAUGGGAAAUUGGAUUCGCGUUCUGAUGAAUGUAUUUUGGUGGGUUACUCUGAAGAGGCGAAAGCAUAUCGUUUGUGGUCGCCAAAGAAACGUCAUGUAAUUAUUAGCCGUGACGUCAAGUUUACAGAAGACUUUUAUGGAGAAGCGUUUGAGCCAAUAAUCAGAGAAGACUUGGAGCCACAAUACGAGUAUGAAAUGCCAAUAGGAGAACAGGAGUACCCGGAACAGCGAGAACGACAGUCCCAGACAUCAUCUCAAAACGCGAAUGAUACAUUUCAGACCCAGAACACAAAUGCUGACGCCAUAGAGGAUAGUGAAGAGGACAUGGAUGAUUUCGAGGGGUUUGAAGAUUGCGAAUUCAUUAAUGCCGUUUUUAACGACGAACCUACUACCUGUGGCGAGGCGAUGAAUUCCCCAGAUGGUCUCAAAUGGCGACUGGCAAUUGAAGACGAAUUUUUAGCACAGAUAUUAAAUGGUACUUGGGAAAUUACCGAACAACCAGAUGACAAGAAGGUGAUUGCCAAUAGAUUCGUUUUUCGCACUAAAAUGGACGAUAAGAAGAAAGCUCGUCUAGUCGCAAAAGGGUGCUCCCAACGGCCAGGGGAGGAUUUUUCGGACACCUACUCACCCGUCGUUCGAUCGUCGACCAUUCGACUAAUGUCUGCUGUAGCUGUCGAAAAUGACCUGGAAAUCCAUCAGAUGGAUUUUGUGACAGCAUACCUGAAUGGAGAUCUUAAGGAAAGAGUCUUCAUGCAUGUACCUGAUUAUUUGGAGGAAGUCUUGCACAAAUUGUCACGAGGAGAAACGGUUGGAACAAGCAAGGAGAAGAAUCAGAAAGCCGUUGAAAUUGCGGAAGCGUGGCUCAGGAAUUUGAAGAAAUAUAAAAAUCCAGUAUGCAGACUCGUCAAGGCAAUAUAUGGUCUACGACAAUCAGGCCUACUGUGGUACCAGAAACUGAGUCACAGAUUACAACAACUUGGAUUAAUACCAUCGAAACAGGACCCUUGCUUAUUCAUAAACAGGAAAGGUGAGAAGAUCACGCUAGUCACUGUUUACGUUGAUGAUUUAUUAAUAGCCACGGACGAUAAGGAACAGCUAUGCCACAUAAAGAAGUCUUUGGCAGAAUCCUUUGAGAUGAAGGACCUUGGGAGGGUCAGCAGAUGUUUGGGCAUAGAAUUUGACCAGGAUUUGGAGAAUGGUCAAAUGUCAUUAAAGCAGAAGGAAUAUACCGAAUCCGUUCUUGCACGUUUCAACAUGCAAAAUUGCAAACCGGUUGUGACACCUUUAGAACAACAAUGUAAAUUGGAUAAGCCUUUAGAACCUGAUGCGACAAUAAUGCGAAAACAUCCCUACCAAAGCUUGAUCGGUGCCCUUAUGUAUUUAGCAGUCAGCACUCGGCCUGAUAUAGCGUACGCCGUAAAUUUCUUAAGCCAGUUUAAUUCGAAUUACAAUACUGAACAUUGGAAGGCCGCCAAGAGGGUAUUACGCUAUCUUAAAGGGACGAUCGAUCAUGGACUAAAGUAUACCAAAAGCAACAUUCAAUUGUAUGCGGUUGUGGACGCUGAUUGGGGUUCCAAUCUCUCCGAUAGACGCUCCUACUCAGGAUUUGCCUUCAUAAUGUCUUCCGGAGCAAUCAGUUGGGAAGCUCGAAAACAGAGGACCGUGGCUUUAUCGAGCACAGAAGCAGAGCUCCUUGCUAUUACAGAGGCUUCAAAGGAGGCCUUGUAUCUUCGACGAAUCUUUGAGGAAAUCAGACUGCCGAAAAACUGCAUUACGAUCUUCAACGACAGUCAGAGUGCCCAGAAAUUGAUACAAAGCGUCGGAUACCACUCUCGUACCAAGCAUAUCGACGUCCGACAUCAGUUUUUGCAACAGUACCGAAAUUCUGGUUAUAUUAAAUUGGAGUACAAGAGGACCGAAGAUAUGACAGCUGACGUACUCACGAAGGGCCUUGGUUCCAGUAAGCAUCAACAACAUAUUCGAGAACUGGGCGUGGCCGAGAUUCUAUAGAGGACGUCCUACUUCGAGGGGAGGUGUUGGAAAGUACGAAGUAGUCACAACCAUUAUUUGUAUUGCAACACUGUGUUCUCUAUUCCCUUUUGUGUAUAUUAGUUUUUACUAUUCCUUUUUGAUAUUUCAUUCUUUAUUGUAUUCGCUAUUACAUUGUACUCAUAUUCAAAUUUACCAGUCAGUCUGGAAUAAACUACAAAUGAAUUAACAACACUAAGUUUAUUGACGGCAGUCCUCCGAGAAGCCGUUUAUCUUUUAACACUCGCGAUCUUACCGUCUUGGUUGUUAUUGACCUGAUGACCAGUUUCCUGUCCUCAAAGAUGUUCAAAGAUUCGACGUCCUCGCAUUAACACCACUGUAAAGGAAAUGAAAGAACAAGGUGCGACCAAAAUAUAUAAAUAAUCUCUUCUAGCGAAGACGCUAAAUCUUGCAGCCGGUUGUACGUACCGGAUUGGCCCGAUAAAGUUCUUCAUCGGCAAAGGCUGCCGCCUCAGUAAAUAACACACUGCUACAACAACAACAACACCAAAUCUAGUAUGCCUAUAGGCACUUUGGCCUCAACAUGCUAUUUUAUAGACUUUUAAGGACAGUAGUAGUGGUUCAAGUAAAAUACUAUACACCAAAUGAAAUCUUAUGCAGUGCAAAAAAGUCAACGUUUGGGACACAAAAAUAAGAGAUGCAAAGAUGUUUCCACGUACCAAGAGUUUCUGUCAGAAAAAAUGCACGAAAACAUUGCGCACAAACUGCAUUGGCCCACAUAGUUCCUCUGUUGGAAGCGGAAGAGUACUGCAGCAUGGCAAAAGCUACGUUUUUACAGAAAACACCACAACAAAAUCAACUCCAACCCUAAAUAAACUGACAUUUUUCCCAAUCUCCCAUCCCCCAGCAACAAAACAAUAUCCACGAAUCCCAAUACAAAAAACAAAUUCAACUUCCAACAAGACAACGAAAAAUUUAUAAACGAAAAACAAAAUUUGGAUCGUGAGAUGACAAGGCUAUUACUGAAAGGAAGUAGGAAGGAGAUGGCCAUUCGGAGUUGUUUUAUAUUUCUGAAAAAUACUUCGACAGAUAUAUGGAGAAUUCACAAUGCGAACAAAAAUACUUGCAG